rnacentral:rRNA from 1 species
GACGAACGCUGGCGGCGUGCUUAACACAUGCAAGUCGAACGGAAAGGCCCUGCUUUUGUGGGGUGCUCGAGUGGCGAACGGGUGAGUAACACGUGAGUAACCUGCCCUUGACUUUGGGAUAACUUCAGGAAACUGGGGCUAAUACCGGAUAGGAGCUCCUGCUGCAUGGUGGGGGUUGGAAAGUUUCGGCGGUUGGGGAUGGACUCGCGGCUUAUCAGCUUGUUGGUGGGGUAGUGGCUUACCAAGGCUUUGACGGGUAGCCGGCCUGAGAGGGUGACCGGCCACAUUGGGACUGAGCUACGGCCCAGACUCCUACGGGAGGCAGCGGUGGGGAAGAUUGCACAAUGGGCGGAAGCCUGAUGCAGCCACGCCGCGUGCGGGAUGACGGCCUUCGGGUUGUAAACCGCUGUCGCCUGGGACGAAGCGUGAGUGACGGUAAUGGGUAAAGAAGCACCGGCUAACUACGUG